rnacentral:rRNA from 1 species
AUUGAACGCUGGCGGCAUGCCUUACACAUGCAAGUCGAACGGCAGCACGGGUGCUUGCACCUGGUGGCGAGUGGCGAACGGGUGAGUAAUACAUCGGAACAUGUCCUGUAGUGGGGGAUAGCCCGGCGAAAGCCGGAUUAAUACCGCAUACGAUCUAUGGAUGAAAGCGGGGGACCUUCGGGCCUCGCGCUAUAGGGUUGGCCGAUGGCUGAUUAGCUAGUUGGUGGGGUAAAGGCCUACCAAGGCGACGAUCAGUAGCUGGUCUGAGAGGACGACCAGCCACACUGGGACUGAGACACGGCCCAGACUCCUACGGGAGGCAGCAGUGGGGAAUUUUGGACAAUGGGGGCAACCCUGAUCCAGCCAUUCCGCGUGAGUGAAGAAGGCCUUCGGGUUGUAAAGCUCUUUCGGCAGGAACGAAACGGUGAGGGCUAAUACCCCUUAUCAAUGACGGUACCUGAAGAAGAAGCACCGGCUAACUACGUGCCGGCAGCCGCGGUAAUACGUAGGGUGCGAGCGUUAAUCGGAAUUACUGGGCGUAAAGCGUGCGCAGGCGGUUUUGUAAGACAGAUGUGAAAUCCCCGGGCUUAACCUGGGAACUGCGUUUGUGACUGCAAGACUUGAGUGCGGCAGAGGGGGGUGGAAUUCCACGUGUAGCAGUGAAAUGCGUAGAGAUGUGGAGGAACACCGAUGGCGAAGGCAGCCCCCUGGGUCGACACUGACGCUCAUGCACGAAAGCGUGGGUAGCAAACAGGAUUAGAUACCCUGGUAGUCCACGCCCUAAACGAUGCGAACUAGGUGUUGGGGAAGGAGACUUUCUUAGUACCGCAGCUAACGCGUGAAGUUCG